GUUGCAAUUGAGAGCCAAAAAUGUCAGAUUCGCUCGCAGUUCUCUAUAAUCUUCUAACUCAGUUAUCAGAUGGCAUACUGGACUCUCUCUCCGCAGUAAACUACACUCCUCCAGAAGGCUCCACUGUCUCUACCAAAUCCAUACUCGAAUCUCUUCUCUCUAAACAAAACUUCAAGCGUAACCCUGAAAUCACUGAAACCCAACUCCACAAUUCAAUCAAGGACUUCGUUUUAGCAUGUGCUUUACUGUCCUCUUCGCAGACCUCGACCCAUGAACUGCUUUUGUGGAUACCCAAUGAACUUUCGAUUAUGGCGACCGCGGUUUUGAAGGAGUUUUCGAGGGUGUAUUUCGGGAGUGUUUUUGGGGAUAGAAAUGAGAGAAGGGUUAGUGAAUUGUUGGGUUUGGAUUGUGGUUUGUUGACUGAAGAAAAGAGGUUGGUGGUGGUGUUGAUGCCUGAGGUUUUGCCUGAGUUGAAAGGGAGUAUUAAGGAGAGUUCUAUUGACAAGAAUACUGAUGGGGAUGAGGUGUCUGCUGCCUCUGCUCGGGCACCGGUUGGUUUUGCCAUUGUCGCUGCCUAUCAGUUUAGAUGGUUUAUUAGUCAGGUUGAUUAUCCACAUUUGGGAAAAGUGUCUAAUUUGGUGAUUCCUUGUGGGUUGACUGCACUUGAUCACUGGUCACCAGAGGUGAAAGGGCAAGGCAUGAUUAGUUUCAUACAUCUUGCAAAAAAUUUGAAUGAUGCUGAGUUUGGUUGGUAUGAGGAUGUGAUUCUUGAUGCAUGCUGCCAGAAUAUUGCUUCGGCUGAUGAGAUAUGGUAUCAUGUAGUUGAGAUGUCAGUACUUCUUGUAACUUGCAUCCAGCGAAGUAAUCCUCGUAGUCCAUGGUUUGAAAGGAUGCUGAAUGAGAUGUUAAGUCACUUGGAGCGCCAACCAAGAAAUAAGGAUCGCUGCAUUGCAUGGCUUACAUUCAUAGAACCGCUUUUCCAUGCUGUUGGUCUUGUGUUAUUAGCUCAUUUUAGGCGGAUUUUCCCACUUUUCUUUCAGUGGAUGCAUGCUGAUGACGAUGAAACUGUUCUGCUAGUAAGAGUGGUUAUAGUUGCAUGUUCUUAGCUUCUUAUUUAUUAAUCUCUGAUUCUUCAUAGUAUUAUAAAUUUUAGUAUGGCUUGUAUGCUUUUUAAUGUUCAUCUUAGAUAAAUAUUCCAAAGGUAAUCCACUUAAGUAAAAGGUUCCUAGUGAUAAUUAUCAACACAGCAGGAAAGAUAUUAUAUUGCUUUGGCUUCUCAUCUACUAGUUUUUUUCCUGUUCUUUUGCAUAGCAUCUUAUUUCUGGUUGUAUAUUAGUGCAUAGUCAUUAAGCCUUUAGUUGAACUCUGUUCUUUUUGUCUAUCUUGCUUUGUUUCCUUUUUGUUGGCUUUUGUUCAGCACUAUGCAAUUUGCCUCUUUUUCUUUUUCUCAUUGAAUUAAUUUGUUUACUUUUGAUCCAGAAUUAUUUUGAAAUUUUCAUGAACAUUGCUUUGAGGAUGUAUGACAAUAUCAAUUUUUGCCCUUUGUGCAGGUUCUUAAAAGGGUCCAAACAAUUGUAAGGUUAACAUGGAUAAGGAACACACCUUAUAUCGAAAGGUGAACCGAAUAUUACUGUUUUACCUCUGCAUAAUUUUAGGUGGCAUUUGAAAAUCUUGGCUUUCAUGCUAUUUUUAUAAAAUUCAGAAGCAUAAGAAUUUACAAAAUCAUUUUGGAAUGACCAAUGCUUUACUUAAUUUACUUCUAAAAGUAAAUUUUGUGUUAAUCUGCUGAGCCUUUCUGUCGGAUGAUUUAUAGUCACUUUUUGCAAGGAUAAGAAGUUAUUUUCCUUGAUGUUUCUUCUUAGAAAACCCUCACUAGUUUUAAGAUUCCAUGGAAAAGUUCCAUAAUCAUGUAUCAGAACUGUUUUCUUCUUCUUCCACUUCAGUUUGUCAUCAAUUUUUGCUUUUAGCAUAUGAUAACCUGGACUCCUGUUCAAAACUGAAUCUACAGUCUAAGAACAUAAUUUUCUAUGAAAUUAAGCUACUUCUAGCUCUCUAUUUCAUUCUUCAUGUCGUUACUUCAGAUUGGUGGAUGAACUUGUUGUACUAUACAAGGAAGCAGCAUUGAAAAAAGCUCGUGAAGAAAUUAGAACUCAUGUUCUUGACAUACUGGUCUUGCUUCAUCAGUAAGGACCAUUUUAUUUCUUUCCUACUUUUCUGCACUCAGUUUCUAUCUACCCUUUGAUUUAUCUCUAUUGACGUAUUUCUUUUUGCCCUGUAAUUCCAAGAUGCAAGGGCCUGCAAUUUGAAGCAACCUGGGACAAGCACAGGGAUGAUCCAAAUUUGACGACUCUUAGUUUCUCAUUAAGGGAAAGACAUUGUGAAUAAUGUUGCCACCCAUGCAGAACUUUUUCAGAGUUAUCGUCUUAAAGUGGAUCUGCUUGGACAGUAUUGAAUGUCUUGAUGGGAUGGAGCUAUGGAGGAAAUCGAAGAGGAAGUAACCUCUGCUUGUUUGCAUUAGACAUAUUCCUAAAGGAAUACAGAGAAAUUUUCCUUCAACUAAAGACUCCCGGCAUAUGGAUUGCAUGGUUGCAGCGGCUGCAAACAGCUGCUCUUCCUUUUGCAGAUAGCGUGAGGGAUGCUGGUUUACCUUGUCUAUGAUUUUUUCCCCUUUUCUGAUACAGCUAUAGCUUAUCUUAGGAAUGGUUUAUGAACACAUGCUAGUCCAUUGUUCACAAUCUGUAUAGUUGUUUUUCAGGCCUAAUUUUUAUCAUUAUUUUUUAAACUAAGUUCAUUUCAUUGAGGUGGACUUAAUGUCUAAUGUUGAAUGGCGGAAAAAAUCUAUAUAACCG
rnacentral:misc_RNA from 1 species